rnacentral:piRNA from 1 species
CCAGGUGAUGCUAAGCUGGACUCUGGA